GUACUGCUGAGGAGUCCCAUAAUAGGACGAAACGGCCGUCCAGUGC
rfam:Schistosoma mansoni strain Puerto Rico chromosome 4, complete genome